ensembl:lincRNA
CUGAAAUCCACUGUAAAAGUUUCCUGCUUUUUAAAAAGUAUUUUUUUAUUUGUAAUAUCUGCAGUGCAUGAUGAUCACAUUCAUUGCGGAAAAUCGAUACAUGUACGUAAAACAUCUUCUACCCUCAUACGUGCCCUACCUUCCCUUCCUCUUCUCUCCCACCAGCUCGUGGUCCUCUUAUCAUUUUCCCUAUUUCUGCUAUGAAACAGCUAUCGGUUUAGUCACAUAGUGAGCUCAGCUCAUUCCAGGCAGCCACACCCGAGAUUGUUUUUGAAUGAAUAGGUGGGUGGACAGAUGGAUGAAUAGGUGGAUGGAUGGAUGUGUGGAUGGAUGGAUGAAUGGAUGGAUGGCUGGAUGGAUAAAUGGAUGGCUGAAUGGAUGAUUGAAUGGAUGAAUGGAUGGAUGGAUGGAUGAAUGGAUGAAUGAAUGAAUGGAUGAAUGGAUCACUGGAUGGAUGGAUGGAUGGAUGGAUGAAAUGGAUGGGUGGAUGGAUGGAGGAACGGAUGAAUGGAUGGAUGGAUGAACAGAUGGGUAGAAGAAAGAAGGAAGGAAGGGAGGGGAGGAGGAAGGAAGAAGUGGCAGGUGGACAGCUGUACUGAUGGACAGGCUGACUCUGAGGUGAGCAAACGCCCCUCCUGAAGCCCCUCUUGCUAAGCCCAUCUGACCUCCCCUCUGGGUUUCCUCUCCUGCUGCAGUCAAAGUUCCUAGUGACUACAGGUUUACUAGCCAUUUCACAGUCACCUUCUCCACUGCUGGUAGCCUGGUGGCAUCUUUGUCACUUGCUGGUAACUAUCCCACAGCCCCUCCCAAGGGCCUUUAAGACCUGGGCUCCCCCAGGAGCUGAGGACGGGAGUGACCAUCCCUCUGACUGCCCUUUCUGUGCAGAGCCUGGCUAUUCUUGUGAUGAGCAGCUUCUGGGGCCAAACAAGCCAAGAAGAAGCUUGGCCAGAAGGAGCUUGGCUUGGGGGCGAUCCCUCUGCUCCUUCAUAGCUUCUGGAAGAUGCUGAGCACAUUCAAAAGGGAACAGUUUCGCAGCUUUUUGAGUGAGAAGCGCAGAAGCCUGGGAAACCGAAAGACGGCUGCAGCGUCAGCCAAGGCCAGGCUGAUUGGAGGUCAACAGCAGUCACUGAGGCCAUGAAAAUCCCCAGCCUGGGAAAGUCCCUGCUGUCAUGGUGACAGGACAGACGCGCCCCCGACAGCUCCACAGAGCACAGCGUCAGGACAGCAAGGGGACAGCGUGGCAGGACACAUUGCAUGGCCCAUCUGCCAGUCGGGCACAUGUGCAGCCAGGCACCAAGAUCUUAGGCACUGUUCAAAGAGACAAAACAGCAAGCACUUAGUAAGGUUGGGCCUUGCAGUCCUUGGUUGUAAAGUCGUUUCAUAUGGGGAAGUGACCGAGUGUAACCCUACAUUCCGAUGGGCCAGUUAGCAGCCAGCUCCUGCAGGGCCAACAGGGACCCAGCUGCUUCACUGUGACCUUGGUUUCUUCCCCCUACCCCAGCAGGCACUCUGAACCCCACUGCAUCCCACUGGAGGCCCUGCCAACAGGGCAGUAUUCCCUUGCACCUG